GUGGGGAAUAUUGGACAAUGGGCGAAAGCCUGAUCCAGCCAUGCCGCGUGUGUGAAGAAGGUCUUCGGAUUGUAAAGCACUUUAAGUUGGGAGGAAGGGUAGUAACCUAAUACCUUGCUGUUUUGACGUUACCGACAGAAUAAGCACCGGCUAACUUCGUGCCAGCAGCCGCGGUAAUACGAAGGGUGCAAGCGUUAAUCGGAAUUACUGGGCGUAAAGCGCGCGUAGGUGGUUGUGUAAGUUGGAGGUGAAAUCCCCGGGCUCAACCUGGGAACUGCCUCCAAAACUGCAUGACUAGAGUACGGUAGAGGGUAGUGGAAUUUCCUGUGUAGCGGUGAAAUGCGUAGAUAUAGGAAGGAACACCAGUGGCGAAGGCGACUACCUGGACUGAUACUGACACUGAGGUGCGAAAGCGUGGGGAGCAAACAGGAUUAGAUACCCUAGUAGUCC
rnacentral:rRNA from 1 species